GGAUUUUGAAGGUGUGGCAGCUGAUGGACCGAAGUGAUGGGCGGAGUCUUCCUUACAUGAGGAUCAAUCCUGUGAGUGACAUGAAACCCAGGAGAGCCUCUCCCCAGGGAUCCACGGUGACUAACUGCGGCGGUGGCAGCAGCCCGGCAGAGGCCAAAAAUCCCGACAGUGUGGACCUGGAGCCUUUUCACAGCGUUCAAAAGCAGACAUGAGGCCGAGGUGAGAGAGCAGGAGCGAGGGAGGAAGAGGACAGAUAACGAUGCAGCUGUCACACUCCUGAAGCGUUUCUCUGUUCACCUCCAGACCCCGCCGGUGCGAUCCCUGUGACCUCCAUCACUUCAGAAAAAACAGAUGUAAACCUCAUCCCCGCCCCGUCCGUGUCUGGCGGACACACCGAAGCUUCACCGCCGACUCAGAGGGUCCCUCAGCGACACAUGUCCUGAUUUCUGGUGACAUCAGAGUCAGUCCUCAGUCACUCUGAUCCCGUCAAGGAGGCGGCUGAGAUGAACCGAUGGCGGAUGGCCUAUUUAUACCCCAGUCACCUGAUCUCUCACUCCCCCACAGGCCAGGAAUAUUAAAUUGACAGCAGCAUAUUCUGAAAUGUGUGAUUGCCCCCGAGGCUGCAGAUACUCAGGGUUAUCUGCUCUGUAUUUUUAACUUACCUUGAUAAACACAUGAGGACUCUUCUGUUGAGGGUCACAUUCUUUCUGGGGUCACCUCAGCUUAAUAUGCCCGUUUUUUAAAAGGCCUUUCAAAAAUCUACAUUCAAUGGAAAGAGAGAUACUAUUUCUAUCCAUAAAUUAAAUCCCUCAGUCAUCCUCCAACAGGUUUUCAGCCAUCCUCACAUUGAUUCCUUCAUCUUCCUUCCCGUUUUUUGAGAGUGUAAUUUUGAGUUUAUUGGAAUUAGCUUGUGAAUGUGUUUUUAUGCUAAGCUAAUCAGUACUGUGGUCAGAUUGCAACGUCCCCUUGCUUCCUUUGUAAUUCACCAUGUUUGACACCGCUCACACAGAACGUCAUAAAGUCAUCCUCAAACUGAUGACAGGAUGAUGCUGAAGAUCAAGGCCUGAGCUUUCUGUCGCAAAAAGAAUGAAAACUCUCACCGCCAUAGUUUGAAUUCUCAUCAAUUUAAACAAACUCACGAGGUCCACAUUUGAGGGGUUAAAAGCUUCUUUUUUUAGAUUUCUUUUUCAUCCAUUCAUUCAUUUGUAAAACACAAAUCACUGCUUCAUUCAUCACCAUGAGAUGUUACCUUCUGUUGUUUCUUCAAAGCCUCCUAUCGCACUCCCUUUUCCAUUUUUUUUUCACUCGUCUACAAACACUCAUCCUCUAAUCAGCGUCCCCUUCCUCCUCAGAAUAUUACUCAUGUAUUUAUUCAUCCAUCCAUCUAUUUUCCUUGAGCAGUGGGUGGUUUUCAGGAAGCCCUGCAGCCUUGGAUCCUUCCCUCCAAACACACGCGAGGUGUUGACCGACGUUGGACAGAUCGGGCCGGGCAUCGGAGAAACUGAAUUGCCACAAUCACAUUUUACUUGGCCCCCUUAUCUGCGUGUUUGACAUUUCGUCUCAGCGGCCCGACAACCAAAAGUGUAGGUCGAGCUGAAACCGCGAGCUGUCAAAACUCGCCGCGCGGCCCGUGCCAUGUUAAACAUCCAACAUCUGCGUCCACCGUAAACACUGGACCCCCCUCAUAAUGGGCUCCACAUGUGGGCCCGUUGUGGCUGCACGUGCUCCCGUCCUGCGUCUGGACGAAAGGGAAACUGUCAGCCCCGUUGUGUGAAACGGAUACAGCUUCAGGAUUACAAUGCGAUAUAAAACAUUUGAUCUCCAGCUCUCCUCCAAUUAUAAUUAAGGCAGGUUCAAACAGGCGUCCUUACGUUUGAUCUCCACGCCAUCCUGAUACUGAGCCUACGAUGGGACAUUUAUUUAAUAACAGCUGCACCGCAAAAACCUCCAGCAGCUGGCAGUUAAAAGAAAACCCCUCCCUUGGAUACAGUUUCUCCUUGAUAUCAUCAAUCUGUGAUUUCUAUGCAUUCCAGGAGUUAUUCUGUGAUGAAGAGGUUUAACUUACGUUUCUAGUGAACCCCGCUCUCCCCUCCAAACGGCCUCGUCUAAUUCGACUUCACUUACUUCUCCUCUCACUCCCCCAGAAUAACUUGUGACAGCCUCCAAAGAUGGGGUGUGACCCUGUUGCUCGGAUGCAGCGAGCCAGCCAAGUGGUUCAUGGAUUUGAGCCACAAAAUGUGCAGUCGUUAAAAGUCCUUCAUCCUCCGAGCUGAGUCUUUGCUGUGGUUGCGUUGGAUUCUGGUUCGUGGUAUUUCCUGCUCCUCUGGAUGCAGAGCCACAUAACUCCCCCUCCUUUACUGCAGUCUCUCUUUUUGUCUUUGUGCAUCAUUCUUGAAAACUUAAAUCGAAGAAGUUGUUUGUUUUAUUGUCUCUGCAACUGAAACCAAUGAUGGACUUUUAUUGGCAACACUCAAACUCUAUUGUUGCUGCUAGAAAGAGAAAAACACAACUUUUUACCAGCCAGUCAUGCAUGAGAAGAUUUACUAACUACAAUGACUCCAGAAGUGACAGACACGUAGAUUUAGGAUGGACUUCCCCUGUUUGAAAAGGGCAAAGUGCCAUCUGAAAUAAAUCACAUUCAGGUGACCUUUAAUGUAAAAAAUGUUUGGUCAUAUACACACUUCUUUUCCUAGCAGGGAUCUUUAAAAUCUUUCUUCAUUCA